UGCAGCUGCACCACCUGCGGC
rnacentral:misc_RNA from 1 species